rnacentral:rRNA from 1 species
CUGAAUAGGGCGCAUAAGUAACAGGUCGUAGACCCGAAACCAGGUGAUCUACCCAUGUCCAGGAUGAAGGUAAGGUAAUACUUACUGGAGGUCCGAACCCACGCACGUUGAAAAGUGCGGGGAUGAGGUGUGGGUAGCGGAGAAAUUCCAAUCGAACUUGGAGAUAGCUGGUUCUCUCCGAAAUAGCUUUAGGGCUAGCCUCGAGGUAAAGAGUCAUGGAGGUAGAGCACUGUUUGGACUAGGGGCCCUUCUCGGGUUACCGAAUUCAGAUAAACUCCGAAUGCCAUGUACUUAUACUCGGGAGUCAGACUGCGAGUGAUAAGAUCCGUAGUCGAAAGGGAAACAGCCCAGACCACCAGUUAAGGUCCCCAAAUAUAUGUUAAGUGGAAAAGGAUGUGGGGUUGCUUAGACAACCAGGAUGUUGGCUUAGAAGCAGCCACCAUUGAAAGAGUGCGUAAUAGCUCACUGGUCGAGUGACCCCGCGCCGAAAAUGUACCGGGGCUAAACAUAUUACCGAAACUGUGGAUGAACCUCUUUAGAGGUUCGUGGUAGGAGAGCGUUCUAAGGGCGGUGAAGUCAGACCGGAAGGACUGGUGGAGCGCUUAGAAGUGAGAAUGCCGGUAUGAGUAGCGAAAGAAGGGUGAGAAUCCCUUCCACCGAAUAUCUAAGGUUUCCUGAGGAAGGCUCGUCCGCUCAGGGUUAGUCGGGACCUAAGCCGAGGCCGAUAGGCGUAGGCGAUGGACAACAGGUAGAGAUUCCUGUACCAGUGCUAAUUGUUUAACCGAUGGGGUGACACAGAAGGAUAGGGAAUCGCACGAAUGGAAAUGUGCGUCCAAGCAGUGAGUGUGAGAAGUAGGCAAAUCCGCUUCUCGCGAAGCAUGAGCUGUGAUGGGGAAGGAAAUUAAGUACGGAAGUUCCUGAUUUCACGCUGUCAAGAAAAGCCUCUAGGAAGAGUAGUACUGCCCGUACCGCAAACCGACACAGGUAGAUGAGGAGAGAAUCCUAAGGUGAGCGAGAGAACUCUCGUUAAGGAACUCGGCAAAAUGACCCCGUAACUUCGGGAGAAGGGGUGCUCUAUUAGGGUGCAAGCCCGAGAGAGCCGCAGUGAAUAGGCCCAGGCGACUGUUUAGCAAAAACACAGGUCUCUGCAAAACCGUAAGGUGACGUAUAGGGGCUGACGCCUGCCCGGUGCUGGAAGGUUAAGAGGAGUGCUUAGCUUCGGCGAAGGUACGAAUUGAAGCCCCAGUAAACGGCGGCCGUAACUAUAACGGUCCUAAGGUAGCGAAAUUCCUUGUCGGGUAAGUUCCGACCCGCACGAAAGGCGCAACGAUCUGGGCACUGUCUCAACGAGAGACUCGGUGAAAUUAUAGUACCUGUGAAGAUGCAGGUUACCCGCGACAGGACGGAAAGACCCCGUGGAGCUUUACUGCAACCUGAUAUGGAAUGUUUGUACCGCUUGUACAGGAUAGGUAGGAGCCGAAGAGACGUGUGCGCUAGCAUACGAGGAGGCAAUGGUGGGAUACUACCCUGGCUGUAUGACCAUUCUAACCCGCCACGCUUAGCGCGUGGGGAGACAGUGUCAGGUGGGCAGUUUGACUGGGGCGGUCGCCUCCUAAAGAGUAACGGAGGCGCCCAAAGGUUCCCUCAGAAUGGAUGGAAAUCAUUCGCAGAGUGUAAAGGCACAAGGGAGCUUGACUGCGAGACUGACAAGUCGAGCAGGGACGAAAGUCGGGCUUAGUGAUCCGGUGGUUCCGCAUGGAAGGGCCAUCGCUCAACGGAUAAAAGCUACCCCGGGGAUAACAGGCUUAUCUCCCCCAAGAGUCCACAUCGACGGGGAGGUUUGGCACCUCGAUGUCGGCUCGUCGCAUCCUGGGGCUGUAGUCGGUCCCAAGGGUUGG